UUUGUAUCAGGUUGGUAUGUGGACGGAUGGAUGUUGGUGACUAGGUUUGUAUGAGGUUGGUAUGUGGACGGAUGGAUGUUGGUGACUAGGUUUGUAACAUGUUGGUGUGGGGAUGAUGGAUGGAUGUUGGUGACUAGGUUUGUAACAUGUUGGUAUGGGGAUGAUGGAUGGAUGUUGGUGACUAGGUUUGUAACAUGUUGGUAUGGGGAUGGAUGUUGGUGACUAGGUUUGUAACAUGUUGGUAUGGGGAUGGAUGUUGGUGACUAGGUUUGUAUAAGGUUGGUAUGUGGACGGAUGGAUGUUGGUGGCUAGGUUUGUAACAUGUUGGUGUGUGGAUGAUGGAUGGAUGUUGGUGACUAGGUUUGUAACAUGUUGGUGUGUGGAUGAUGGAUGGAUGUUGGUGACUAGGUUUGUAUCAGGUUGGUAUGUGGACGGAUGGAUGUUGGUGGCUAGGUUUGUAACAUUUUGGUGUGUGGAUGAUGGAUGGAUGUUGGUGACUAGGUUUGUAACAUGUUGGUAUGGGGAUGAUGGAUGGAUGUUGGUGACUAGGUUUGUAACAUGUUGGUAUGGGGAUGAUGGAUGGAUGUUGGUGACUAGGUUUUUAACAUGUUGGUAUGGGGAUGGAUGUUGGUGACUAGGUUUGUAUCAGGUUGGUAUGGGGAUGAUGGAUGGAUGUUGGUGACUAGGUUUGUAACAUGUUGGUAUGUGGAUGGAUGUUGGUGACUAGGUUUGUAACAUGUUGGUAUGGGGAUGGAUGUUGGUGACUAGGUUUGUAUCAGGUUGGUAUGGGGAUGGAUGUUGGUGACUAGGUUUGUAUCAGGUUGGUAUGGGGAUGGAUGUUGGUGACUAGGUUUGUAACAUGUUGGUAUGGGGAUGGAUGUUGGUGACUAGGUUUGUAUCAGGUUGGUAUGGGGAUGGAUGUUGGUGACUAGGUUUGUAACAUGUUGGUAUGGGGAUGAUGGAUGGAUGUUGGUGACUAGGUUUGUAACAUGUUGGUAUGGGGAUGAUGGAUGGAUGUUGGUGACUAGGUUUUUAACAUGUUGGUAUGGGGAUGGAUGUUGGUGACUAGGUUUGUAUCAGGUUGGUAUGGGGAUGAUGGAUGGAUGUUGGUGACUAGGUUUGUAACAUGUUGGUAUGUGGAUGGAUGUUGGUGACUAGGUUUGUAACAUGUUGGUAUGGGGAUGGAUGUUGGUGACUAGGUUUGUAUCAGGUUGGUAUGUGGACGGAUGGAUGUUGGUGACUAGGUUUGUAUCAGGUUGGUAUGUGGACGGAUGGAUGUUGGUGGCUAGGUUUGUAACAUGUUGGUGUGUGGAUGAUGGAUGGAUGUUGGUGACUAGGUUUGUAACAUGUUGGUGUGUGGAUGGAUGUUGGUGACUAGGUUUGUAACAUGUUGGUAUGUGGAUGGAUGUUGGUGACUAGGUUUGUGUAAGGUUGGUAUGUGGACGGAUGGAUGUUGGUGACUAGGUUUGUAACAUGUUGGUGUGUGGAUGAUGGAUGGAUGUUGGUGACUAGGUUUGUAACAUGUUGGUGUGUGGAUGAUGGAUGGAUGUUGGUGACUAGGUUUGUAACAUGUUGGUGUGUGGAUGAUGGAUGGAUGUUGGUGACUAGGUUUGUAUCAGGUUGGUAUGUGGACGGAUGGAUGUUGGUGGCUAGGUUUGUAACAUUUUGGUGUGUGGAUGAUGGAUGGAUGUUGGUGACUAGGUUUGUAACAUGUUGGUAUGGGGAUGAUGGAUGGAUGUUGGUGACUAGGUUUUUAACAUGUUGGUAUGGGGAUGGAUGUUGGUGACUAGGUUUGUAUCAGGUUGGUAUGGGGAUGAUGGAUGGAUGUUGGUGACUAGGUUUGUAACAUGUUGGUAUGUGGAUGGAUGUUGGUGACUAGGUUUGUAACAUGUUGGUAUGGGGAUGGAUGUUGGUGACUAGGUUUGUAUCAGGUUGGUAUGGGGAUGGAUGUUGGUGACUAGGUUUGUAUCAGGUUGGUAUGGGGAUGAUGGAUGGAUGUUGGUGACUAGGUUUGUAACAUGUUGGUAUGUGGAUGGAUGUUGGUGACUAGGUUUGUAUCAGGUUGGUAUGUGGACGGAUGGAUGUUGGUGACUAGGUUUGUAUCAGGUUGGUAUGUGGACGGAUGGAUGUUGGUGGCUAGGUUUGUAACAUGUUGGUGUGUGGAUGAUGGAUGGAUGUUGGUGACUAGGUUUGUAACAUGUUGGUGUGUGGAUGAUGGAUGGAUGUUGGUGACUAGGUUUGUAACAUGUUGGUAUGGGGAUGGAUGUUGGUGACUAGGUUUGUAUCAGGUUGGUAUGUGGACGGAUGGAUGUUGGUGACUAGGUUUGUAUCAGGUUGGUAUGUGGACGGAUGGAUGUUGGUGGCUAGGUUUGUAACAUGUUGGUGUGUGGAUGAUGGAUGGAUGUUGGUGACUAGGUUUGUAACAUGUUGGUAUGUGGAUGGAUGUUGGUGACUAGGUUUGUAACAUGUUGGUAUGGGGAUGGAUGUUGGUGACUAGGUUUGUAACAUGUUGGUGUGUGGAUGAUGGAUGGAUGUUGGUGACUAGGUUUUUAACAUGUUGGUAUGGGGAUGGAUGUUGGUGACUAGGUUUGUAUCAGGUUGGUAUGGGGAUGAUGGAUGGAUGUUGGUGACUAGGUUUGUAACAUGUUGGUAUGUGGAUGGAUGUUGGUGACUAGGUUUGUAUCAGGUUGGUAUGUGGACGGAUGGAUGUUGGUGACUAGGUUUGUAUCAGGUUGGUAUGUGGACGGAUGGAUGUUGGUGGCUAGGUUUGUAACAUGUUGGUGUGUGGAUGAUGGAUGGAUGUUGGUGACUAGGUUUGUAACAUGUUGGUGUGUGGAUGAUGGAUGGAUGUUGGUGACUAGGUUUGUAACAUGUUGGUAUGGGGAUGGAUGUUGGUGACUAGGUUUGUAUCAGGUUGGUAUGUGGACGGAUGGAUGUUGGUGACUAGGUUUGUAUCAGGUUGGUAUGUGGACGGAUGGAUGUUGGUGGCUAGGUUUGUAACAUGUUGGUGUGUGGAUGAUGGAUGGAUGUUGGUGACUAGGUUUGUAACAUGUUGGUGUGUGGAUGAUGGAUGGAUGUUGGUGACUAGGUUUGUAACAUGUUGGUAUGGGGAUGGAUGUUGGUGACUAGGUUUGUAACAUGUUGGUAUGGGGAUGGAUGGAUGUUGGUGACUAGGUUUGUAACAUGUUGGUAUGGGGAUGGAUGUUGGUGACUAGGUUUGUAACAUGUUGGUAUGUGGAUGAUGGAUGUUGGUGACUAGGUUUGUAACAUGUUGGUAUGUGGAUGAUGGAUGUUGGUGACUAGGUUUGUAACAUGUUGGUAUGUGGAUGAUGGAUGUUGGUGACUAGGUUUGUAACAUGUUGGUAUGUGGAUGAUGGAUGUUGGUGACUAGGUUUGUAACAUGUUGGUAUGUGGAUGAUGGAUGUUGGUGACUAGGUUUGUAACAUGUUGGUAUGUGGAUGGAUGUUGGUGACUAGGUUUGUAACAUGUUGGUAUGGGGAUG